rnacentral:rRNA from 1 species
GAUGAACGCUAGCUACAGGCUUAACACAUGCAAGUCGAGGGGUCUCGAGGAAGCUUGCUUUCGAGAGACGACCGGCGCACGGGUGAGUAACGCGUAUCCAACCUGCCCUUCAUAUUGGGAUAGCCUUCCGAAAGGAAGAUUAAUACCGAAUAACAUAGAGUGAUUGCCUGAUUUCUCUAUGAAAGAUUUAUCGGUUAUGGAUGGGGAUGCGUAAGAUUAGGUAGUAGGCGGGGUAACGGCCCACCUAGCCGACGAUCUUUAGGGGUUCUGAGAGGAAGGUCCCCCACACUGGUACUGAGACACGGACCAGACUCCUACGGGAGGCAGCAGUGAGGAAUAUUGGUCAAUGGGCGGAAGCCUGAACCAGCCAAGUAGCGUGAAGGAUUACAGCCCUACGGGUUUUAAACUUCUUUUAUAUAAGAGUAAUGUGCACUACGUGUAGUGUAUUGCAAGUAUUAUAUGAAUAAGCAUCGGCUAACUCCGUG